rnacentral:tRNA from 1 species
GAGAACAAAUCUAGAAAAACAUGUUUUUCAGUAUCUUCUCUGUAUUUUACAACACUAAGUUUCUUACAGAGAACAAGUACCAGGAACUUAGUACGUUUAAUUUUAUAUUUACCACUUAAUUAUCCCGGCGUCUGGCAUUUUUGCUUCUUUUCACAGCAGAGGAAAGUUUUACUCCUGCUUCCCCUCCCCGCCCCCCAACCUGUUCUUUUUGGCCUGAGGAAGAUUGCAAUUGCUGCCAAUAGAUUUACUAAUCUAAAUGUACGAGUGCCAUCUUUUGGUAAAGCGAAGGCCGGCUGCAGCAGAGCUCCGUGUCCCAGCCACCACAGAAUCGCAGCCUCCCCCGGGGAACCCCUCUGCCGCCGCGCCCCGGCCCGUUCUCCCUCAGAGGCGGGAGGGCCCCGGGGACCCGUCCCUCGCCGGUACCGACUCGGAAAGAGGGGCUCCUCCACACCCGGACGGGGCACCUCCGGGGACCCUUCCUCAGCCCACGGAUUCCGCCCCCUCAGCGGGCACCUACCGAGGGGGAGCCCGCGGGCGGCGCUGAGGGGAACGGCCGCACGCGCCCCAGCGCCCGCCUCAGCGCCCGCCAGGUGCAGGCGCACGCGGCGGGGGAGGAGCCGCUGGCGCGAGGCCGGCCGGCCGGCAGCGCCGGAGCGGCGCCAGCGAUGGAAAGGCGUCGGGAGGAGCCUUCAACGCAGGCGCGGUGGCCAAGUGGUAAGGCGUCGGUCUCGUAAACCGAAGAUCACGGGUUCGAACCCCGUCCGUGCCUUAACGGGUCCGCGCCGGUGGCAGCUUCCCCGAUCCUUUUUAAGGGCAGGCGGGAGCGGCGGCUCGGGACCGGUACGGCUCCAGGGGCGGCAUUGCACCGCACCCAGCGCAAGUAACGCUCCGCGGAGUGUCGCUGCUGCUGCUCCUGGCCUCAGGAAACAACCGGACAAACAACCACCAUCACUUGCGCGUCACCUUGGUCAAACCACCGUCCUCACCGCUGUCCUUACACCGGCCACGUUUUCCUUCAGAGCGUCUAACCCGGACCUAAGGGAGUCUGGACCUCACCUUGAAGAAGCAAGAGGAGAAGAUGGUUCCAAACGUGCAAGGAAAAGCUGUCUACCAGCGCCAAGAAAAACUCCCUGUCACUUUGGAGCAGGGGCGGAGAGGUGGGGCCGGUUCUGCUGGGGGGUGACGGGCAACGCUGCCCCGUCUCCCAGUAUGAGCCACCACCCCACGCUUCAGACACAGCUGGGCCAGCAGCGUCACGAGCAGCCAGGACACAGCUUGGGGACGCUGAGGGGACCAGCCGCCAAACCAGCACACCCAGUCAGGGGCUGACAGUGCUUAGAACCAUCCCAACGUGCUACAGAUGGAGGGAAAUCCCCCUGGAUUCCCGUGUGGUGCCCACUCACCAGCUCCAGCUCCACUGCCCUCUGGUUGGGCCACACCGACACUUCUGGUUUCUUCCCCACAAACCCUUCGUCUUGCAAACUGCACCAUUCUUGUCCAGAAUCAAAUCUGUGCAAUUGCUGUAUGAACAAAAAUAACUGUCAUUGACUAUGUACACUAUGUUCUGUAAAAUCUUUUACAAUAAAAUACAUAAAUUCUGUUGGUAGGUCA